GACGAACGCUGGCGGCGUGCCUAAUACAUGCAAGUCGAGCGAAGCGGCGGAUGGGUAAGUAACGCGUGGGUGACCUGCCCUUCAGUCUGGGAUACCAUUUGGAAACAGAUACUCAUACCGGAUACUAAAGGAUGGACAUGCGAUGCAUCAGCUAGUUGGGAAGGUAACGGCUUACCAAGGCGAUGCUGCAUAGCUGAUUUGAGAGACUUAUCGGCCACAUUGGGACAGAGACACGGCCCAAACUCCUACGGUAGGCAGCAGUAGGGAAUCUUCCACAAUGGACGAAAGUCUGAUGGAGCAACGCCGCGUGAGUGAAGAAGGUUUUCGGAUCGUAAAGCUCUGUUGUUGGUGAAGCGGUAAUCAACCAGAAUGUCACGGCUAACUACGUGCCAGCAGCCGCGGUAAUUC
rnacentral:rRNA from 1 species